GGAGUUCUGGGAAGCAGUUAGGAAGGAGCCAAUAUUCAUUGGUUGAUGCUACGGUGUAGUAGCGGAAUCCGGAAAGCUAGAAAAGAAAAGGUUCGGCGCAACCUCGUUGGAGCAAGAAGCUUGGAGGGCUUAGGUGCAUUGGGUAGAUUAGGCUUGGAGGGUCUAUUGCUGUCCUUGUAUCCCAACUGUAUUUUCUAGUGGAUUGAUUACCGCUUGGAGGGCGGCGGAGAGGUUUUUCGCCGAGGUCUUCGGUUUCCUCUUCAAUAA